rnacentral:rRNA from 1 species
GAUGAACGCUGGCGGCGUGCAUAACACAUUCAAGUCGAACGGACAAAUGUCUUCGGACAUUUGUUAGUGGCGGACGGGUGAGUAACGCGUGAGCAACCUACCUUUGAUUGGGGGAUAACACAGGGAAACUUGUGCUAAUACCGCAUGACACAUACUGACCGCAUGAUUGGUAUGUCAAAGAAGCAAUUUGAUCAAAGAUGGGCUCGCGUCCGAUUAGAUAGUUGGUGGGUAACGGCCUACCAAGUCGACGAUCGGUAGCCGGACUGAGAGGUUGAACGGCCACAUUGGAACUGAGAAACGGUCCAGACUCCUACGGGAGGCAGCAGUGGGGAAUAUUGGGCAAAUGGGCGAAAGCCUGACCCAGCGACGCCGCGUGAGGGAAGAAGGUCUUCGGAUUGUAAACCUAAUAACAGGGAAGAAGAAAGUAGACGGUACCUGUGGAAAAGCCAACGGCUAACUACGUGCCAGCAGCCGC